UACGGAGGGUGCAAGCGUUAUCCGGAUUUACUGGGUUUAAAGGGUACGUAGGUGGGUAGGUAAGUCAGUGGUGAAAUCUUCAAGCUUAACUUGGAAACUGCCAUUGAUACUAUUUAUCUUGAAUACUUUGGAGGUAAGCGGAAUAUGUCAUGUAGCGGUGAAAUGCUUAGAUAUGACAUAGAACACCAAUUGCGAAGGCAGCUUACUAC
rnacentral:rRNA from 1 species